AGAAUUGAAGGCAGACAAGGACUAGGAGAAGGAGGAGAGGGAGAAAGAGAAGACGGAGGAGUGGGAGAGAGAGAAGGAAAAGACAGUGAAGAAAGGCUCCUAGUAGCUAAGGAGGCUAAUGAAUUGCCCUUGGCCCCACCUAGGAAGACUUGUAGGUCCCGCAGAUUAGCCACGGUUUUUCGGAGCGUGAAGUGUGGGCUGCUACUGCCGGAAGGUCCCAGAAAAGGGGAAGAGCCAAAAGCAUUGGCCGGGUCCUGGCUAUUCAGAGGUCGAGUCCAACCUGAAACUGUCGGGACACAGACACAGACCUCAUUGCACCACGGAGACAUCAUGCAGAAGUCGCCUUUAGAGAAAGCCAGCUUUAUCUCCAAACUCUUCUUCAGCUGGACCACACCAAUUUUGAGAAAAGGGUAUAGACAGCGCUUGGAGUUAUCAGACAUAUACCAAGCUCCUUCUUCUGAUUCAGCUGACCACUUGUCUGAACAACUAGAAAGAGAAUGGGACAGGGAACAAGCUUCAAAGAAGAAUCCCAAGCUUAUCAAUGCCCUUCGGCGAUGCUUUUUAUGGAGAUUCAUCUUCUAUGGAAUCUUGUUAUACCUAGGGGAAGUCACCAAGGCUGUCCAGCCCCUCUUGCUAGGAAGAAUCAUAGCUUCCUAUGACCCAGAUAACAAGAUGGAGCGCUCCAUUGCCAUUUACUUAGGCAUAGGCUUGUGCCUUCUAUUCAUUCUCAGAACACUGCUUCUUCACCCAGCCAUUUUUGGCCUUCAUCGCAUUGGAAUGCAGAUGAGGAUAGCUAUGUUUAGCUUGAUUUAUAAGAAGACUUUAAAGCUGUCAAGCCGUGUUCUUGAUAAAAUAAGUAUUGGACAACUUGUUAGUCUUCUUUCCAACAACCUGAACAAAUUUGAUGAAGGACUUGCCUUGGCACAUUUUGUAUGGAUCGCUCCUUUACAAGUAGCUCUCCUGAUGGGACUUCUCUGGGAAUUGUUACAAUUCUCUGCUUUCUGUGGCCUUGGUUUACUGAUAAUACUUGUCAUUCUUCAGGCUGUUUUAGGGAAGAUGAUGGUGAAGUACAGAGAUCAGAGAGCCGCAAAGAUCAAUGAAAGACUUGUGAUCACAUCAGAAAUUAUUGAUAAUAUCCAUUCUGUUAAGGCAUAUUGUUGGGAAUCUGCGAUGGAAAAGAUAAUUGAAAACCUGAGAGAGGUGGAACUGAAACUGACCCGGAAGGCAGCCUAUCUGAGGUUCUUCACCAGCUCUGCCUUCUUCUUUUCAGGGUUUCUUGUAGUCUUUUUAUCUGUGUAUCCCUAUACAGUCAUCAACGGAAUCAUCCUCCGAAAAAUAUUCACAACCAUUUCAUUCUGCAUUGUCCUGCGUAUGUCAGUCACACGGCAGUUCCCCACUGCCGUACAUACAUGGUAUGAUUCUAUUGGAAUGAUAACAAAAGUACAGGAUUUCCUCCAAUAUCAAGAAUAUAAGAUGCUGGAGUAUAACUUAAUGACCACAGAUGUGGUCAUGGAGAAUGUAACAGCAUUCUGGGAGGAGGGAUUUGGAGAAUUAUUGGAGAAAGUACAACUAAACAAUGGUGACAGAAAACUUUCCAAUGGUGAUAGCAACCUCAGUUUUAGUCAUUUAUGUUUUCUGGGAAAUCCUGUGUUGAAAAACAUCAAUUUUAAGGUAGAAAAAGGAGAGAUGUUGGCUAUUACUGGAUCUACUGGAGCGGGAAAGACAUCACUCCUGAUGAUGAUUUUGGGAGAACUGGAAGCUUCAGAGGGAAAAAUUAAGCACAGUGGAAGAAUUUCAUUCUGUUCUCAAUUUUCAUGGAUUAUGCCGGGUACUAUCAAGGACAAUAUCAUCUUUGGUGUUUCCUAUGAUGAGUACAGAUAUAAGAGCAUCAUCAAAGCUUGUCAACUGCAGGAGGACAUAUCCAAGUUUGCAGAAAAAGACAACACGGUUCUUGGAGAAGGUGGAAUCACACUGAGUGGAGGUCAACGUGCAAGGAUUUCUUUAGCAAGAGCAGUAUAUAAAGAUGCUGAUGUGUACCUCUUGGAUUCUCCUUUUGGAUAUCUAGAUGUCUUAACUGAAGAACAAAUAUUUGAAAACUGUAUCUGUAAAUUGAUGGCCAACAAAACUAGGAUUUUGGUCACAUCUAAAAUGGAGCACUUAAAGAAAGCUGACAAAAUACUAAUUUUGCAUGAGGGCCGCAGCUAUUUCUAUGGGACAUUUUCUGAAUUACAAAGUCUACGGCCAGACUUCAGUUCAAAACUCAUGGGGUAUGACACCUUUGACCAGUUUACUGAGGAAAGAAGAAGCUCAAUUCUAACUGAGACCUUACGCAGGUUCUCAGUAGAUGAGUCCUCUGUCACCUGGAACAAAACCAAACAGUCAUUUAAACAGACUGGAGAGUAUGGAGAAAAACGGAAGAGCUCUAUUUUAAAUUCCUUUAGCAAUAUGAAGAAAUUUUCCAUUGUGCCAAAGACUCCAUUAGUCACAGAAGGAGAUUAUGAUGAACCCCAAGAAAGGAGACUGUCCCUGGCUCCAGAUUCUGAACAGGGAGAGGCAGUCCUGCCUCGCAGCAACGUUAUCCCCACCGGCCCCACAUUUCCAGGCAGAAGAAGACAGUCUGUUUUGGACCUCAUGACAUACACACCCACCCAGGGCUUUAGCAACAUUCAGAGGACAAGGACUUCCAUUCGAAAGAUCUCCUUAGCCCCUCAGAUAAGCUUAAAUGAAGAGGACAUAUAUUCAAGACGGCUGUCUGAAGACAGUGCAUUGAACAUCACUGAAGAAAUUAAUGAAGAAGAUUUAAAGGAGUGUUUUUUUGACGAUAUGGUGAAGAUCCCCCCAGUGACAACAUGGAACACAUACCUCCGCUAUUUUACUCUCCAUAAAAGCUUGCUUAUAGUGCUGAUUUGGUGCGUGCUUGUUUUUCUGGUUGAGGUGGCUGCUUCUUUAUUUGUGUUGUGGUUGCUUAAAAACAAACCUACUCAUGAUGGAACAAAUACUACUAUGGCUACAAAUAACACCUAUCUUGUGAUUGUCACCCAUACCAGCUUCUUUUACAUUUUUUACAUUUAUGUGGGAGUGGCUGACACUUUGCUUGCCUUGGGCCUCUUCAGAGGUUUGCCCCUGGUGCAUACACUAAUCAAAGCAGCAAGAAUUUUACACCAGAAAAUGUUACAUUCUAUUCUUCACGCACCAAUGUCUACCUUGAGCACACUAAAAGCAGGUGGGAUUAUUAACAGAUUCUCCAAAGAUAUAGCAAUUUUGGAUGACUUCUUGCCUCUUACAAUAUUUGACUUCAUCCAGUUGCUGUUCAUUGUGGUUGGAGCUAUAACAGUCGUUUCGAUUUUAGAGCCCUACAUCUUCCUGGCAACCGUGCCUGGGUUAUUGGCCUUUAUCUUACUGAGGGCAUAUUUUCUUCAUACCGCCCAGCAACUCAAACAACUGGAAUCUGAAGGCAGGAGUCCAAUUUUCACCCACCUUGUUACCAGCUUAAAAGGACUGUGGACACUCCGUGCCUUUGGACGCCAGCCUUACUUUGAGACUCUGUUCCACAAAGCUCUAAAUUUACACACUGCCAACUGGUUUCUGUAUCUGUCAACCUUACGCUGGUUCCAAAUGAGAAUAGACAUGAUUUUUGUCCUCUUCUUCUGUGUUGUUACCUUCGUUUCCAUUUUAACAACAGGUAAAGGACAAGGAUCGACUGGUAUUAUUCUAACUUUAGCUAUGAAUAUCAUGAGUACUUUGCAAUGGGCUGUAAACACCAGCAUUGAUAUGGAUAGCUUGAUGCGAUCUGUGAGCAGAGUCUUUAAGUUUAUUGAUAUACCAAAAGAAGAAAGUGGGUGUACCAAGAUAAUGAAAGGACUACCUCAUGAAGACUCCUCUAAGGUUCUAGUUAUUCAGAAUGAACAUGUGAAGAAAACUGAUACCUGGCCCUCUGGGGGCGAAAUGAUUGUUAAAGACCUCACUGUGAAAUAUGGGGAUGAUGGGAAUGCCAUAUUAGAGAACGUUUCUUUUUCAGUGAGCCCUGGUCUGAGGGUGGGCCUCUUAGGAAGAACUGGCUCAGGGAAAAGUACUCUGUUGUCAGCAUUUUUACGCUUGUUGAACAUUAAAGGUGAUAUAGAGAUUGAUGGUGUCUCGUGGAACUCUGUGACCCUACAAGAAUGGAGGAAAGCUUUUGGAGUAAUAACACAGAAAGUAUUUAUCUUCUCUGGAACAUUCAGACAAAACUUAGAUCCUGUUGGAAAAUGGAGAGAUGAAGAAAUAUGGGAAGUUGCAGAUGAGGUUGGACUCAAAUCUGUGAUCGAGCAGUUUCCCGGGCAGCUCAACUUUACCCUUGUGGAUGGGGGUUAUGUGCUCAGCCAUGGCCACAAGCAGCUGCUGUGCCUGGCCCGGUCUGUUCUCAGUAAGGCCAAGAUCUUACUUCUUGAUGAGCCCAGUGCUCAUCUGGACCCCAUAACGUACCAAGUAAUCCGAAGAGUUCUCAAACAUGCCUUCAGUAACUGCACAGUAAUCCUCUGUGAACACAGGAUAGAAGCAAUGUUGGAUUGUCAACGAUUUUUGGUCAUAGAAGAGGGCAAUGUAUGGCAGUACGACUCACUUCAGGCACUUCUGAACGAGAAGAGUCUCUUCCAGCAGGCCAUUAGCUCCUCAGAAAAGAUGAGGCUCUUCCAAAGCCGCCACUCCAGCAAGCAGAAGCCUCGGUCGCAAAUUACAAUUACUGCUCUGAAAGAGGAGACAGAAGAAGAAGUGCAAGAAACCCGCCUCUAGUGGCUGGGAUGCUGGGGAAGCAGCUCAGUGGACCUGAGACAUUCCCAGAACCCAUGCAAAAUGAAAAAGCCUGGCAUGCUCCGUGCUUCUAACCCCAGUGCUGGGGACACAGGGACAGCUGAAUCCUUGUGACUCUGCGGCAAGUGAUCCUAACCCACACAGAGUUCCAGGCCAGGUACCAGAGGGACAGUUCCUGAGGAGCUCCUCUUACAAGUACACACACAUGAACACACAGACACACACACGCACAUUAAUGGACAUACACAGAACAAGAAGAAGAAGGGAAAAGGAAAAAUUAAAGGCCAGAAAAUGCAAAUGAUUGCAAAAUGAUCACAUGAAAUGUUUGCUCAUGGACUCAGAGAAGAAGAGCUCCACUGUGUGUGCCUUUGAAAACAGGGUGAAGCCCCCAUCCCUGCUUUUUAGGAGUCUGUUUUGGAAGAGAAAUCAAGAACAUUCCUAUGGGACUGGGUAACUGGCUUCUAAUAGUGGCUGAACUGUGUGAAAGGCUUCAGAGACCAAGGAUGCGCCACUGGUGCUUUGCAGGCCAUGUUUUCCUGAAAACUUUUGCCCUCGAGUCGUAGCUGGAAAGGUAGCUCUAAAUGCCAACCAGGGAAGUGAGGAGGACAGGAAUUAUAAAGACCAGUGACCUUCAUGGAGUGAAGCAUUGGAACCGAUGCAACUCUUGUCCAUGUCUGUUUGGUUCUCAGACAACACAUGUUCCAUUUUAAUGCAGCUUUGAAGAAGAUGGUACCGAAAGUCAAGAUGGUCCAACUAUGGGCACAUCAGCUUCUGAACUAAGCCUUAGAAGAAUGUAUUAUAUUUAUUAUUAUAAUAGAAUAUCAUGUGUCAAUAAAAUCUUUUUAUUUGUGUGAAA